rnacentral:rRNA from 1 species
CCGCUGAACUUAAGCAUAUCAGUAAAGCAGAGGAAAAGAAACUAACGAGGAUUCCCUUAGUAACGGCGAGUGAACCGGGAUUUGUCCAGCGCUGAAUCGUCAUGCGGGAUUUGAAGUAUGACGAGCUGUGGCGUAUAGACGGUGCUUAUUUCGAUUUCGUAUCAUUGUUUAAGUCUCCCCUGAAAGGGAUCCCAUAGACGGUGAAAGGCCGGUAAAAUGAUGAUGCNNNCCGCUGAACUUAAGCAUAUCACUAAGCGGAGGAAAAGAAACUAACUAGGAUUCCCCCAGUAACUGCGAGUGAAGAGGGAAGAGCUCAUCAUUGGAAUCUGACAGCGUUACGCUGUCCGAGUUGUAGAUGAGGAGUAGUCCAUCUGGACUGCAUGGCGUCCAAGUACAAUAGGCCGUCAGUGGGACAUCAUAGAGGGUGACAAUCCCGUCCUUGAUGCCAAUGUGCAAGUCCGUUACGAUGGCUAUCUCAGAGAGUCGAGCAGUUUGGGAUUUGCUGCUUAAACAUGGGAGGUAGAUUCCUUCUAAAGCUAAAUACAGGCGAGAGACCGAUAGAGAACAAGUACCGCAAGGGAAAGAUGAAAUAGAACUCUGUGAAGGGAGUCAAAAGGCGUGAAAUUGUUGCGAGAGAAGCGAUUCAAGUCAGCGUAGCUAGGCCCAUCAAGCCUCUUUGUGCUUUGGACUAGCUUUGCCAGCGGUCUUGUCCCUUAGAGACUUGACUUUUGAUGUCCAGCCUGGUAUGCACAGGUAGCCCCCU